CAUGCCGCAUGCAACGAAUCUAUGAAUGAAGAUUGUAACACGUUACGGCGAAAGAACGGCGGUGGUGUCCUGCUAUGGCAACUCAACGGUACUCCGUCUGAGGGAAGAUGAACUAAUGUGCUAGCACCUUACAAUCUACGAUGACGAUUUUGACAUCUGUGUGGAAACAGCACAAGCAGGGACUGUUAUUGAAACUGCCUUGGACAGAGUUCUACAGGACAUUUCGGAAGCGGGUUUGAG